UACUGCGUGAGUCGCGAGGUAAACACAAAGCUGGAACGAGGCAGUCCGGAUGAGCCCAUGCUGGAAGACGCCAUUUUGAUGCUGAAUUGAGGGACCACCGGCAGUAAGUACCUGCAAUGAUCACACAGAGAGAGAAGUCAGAUCAUGGAGGGGGAGUGGGGCCGACCACUGGGGCCCCCUGCAAUCUCCUGUAUGAACCUAUGGCUCUCCCUGUGAGCGGAGCACCAUAACCCCCACCUGAAUAAAGAAGGAACUGUAUUGCAAAAACGUGGUGUGAACCCAGCCUAAGUGACGUUUCAGUCAACAAAGACCUUCCUCAGACCGGAUUUCUGCGGAGGAAAAUGGAGUCAAGGCAAAGGAAACUGCGCUCUCUUUCCAGGCGGUGGUUUGCCGGUUGCGGUGCAGAUAUCUGGAAGAUUAUUUAAACAUAUGUUCCCGGCGUCCUUAGAGACCGGCUCCUCGGGACAGCGCAGUCCAUUCGUCAGCAUCAGAGUUUAUGGAUUUUGAUUACAGAGGCCUAGGCUGCGGCAGAGGAAUUUUUGUUACCGGGGAUAGAUAUUUACGG